rnacentral:rRNA from 1 species
GAUGAACGCUGGCGGCGUGCUUAACACAUGCAAGUCGAACGGAAAGGCUCCUGCUUGCAGGGGUACUCGAGUGGCGAACGGGUGAGUAACACGUGGGUGAUCUGCCCUGCACUUCGGGAUAAGCCUGGGAAACUGGGUCUAAUACCGGAUAGGACGAUGGUUUGGAUGCCAUUGUGGAAAGUUUUUUCGGUUUGGGGUGAGCUCGCGGCCUAUCAGCUUGCUGGUGGGGUAAUGGCCUACCAAGGCGUCGACGGGUAGCCCGCCUGAGAGUGUGUACCGCGACAUUGGGACUGAGGUACGGCCCAGACUCCUACGGGAGGCAGCAGUGGGAAAUAUUGCACAAUGGGCGCAAGCCUGAUGCAGCGACGCCGCGUGGGGGAUGACGGCCUUCGGGUUGUAAACUGCUUUCGCUAGAGACGAAGCGCAAGUGACGGUACCUGGAGAAGAAGCACCGGCUAACUACGUG